rnacentral:rRNA from 1 species
GGGUUGUGAGGUUAAGCGACUAAGCGUACACGGUGGAUGCCCUGGCAGUCAGAGGCGAUGAAGGACGUGCUAAUCUGCGAAAAGCGCCGGCGAGGUGAUAUGAACCUUUGACCCGGCGAUGUCCGAAUGGGGAAACCCAGUGCAAUUCGUUGCACUAUCGUUAACUGAAUACAUAGGUUAACGAGGCGAACCGGGGGAACUGAAACAUCUAAGUACCCCGAGGAAAAGAAAUCAACCGAGAUUCCCCCAGUAGCGGCGAGCGAACGGGGAGGAGCCCAGAGUCUGAAUCAGUUUGUGUGUUAGUGGAAGCGUCUGGAAAGUCGCACGAUACAGGGUGAUAGUCCCGUACACGAAAAUGCACAGGCUGUGAACUCGAAGAGUAGGGCGGGACACGUGGUAUCCUGUCUGAAUAUGGGGGGACCAUCCUCCAAGGCUAAAUACUCCUGACUGACCGAUAGUGAACCAGUACCGUGAGGGAAAGGCGAAAAGAACCCCGGCGAGGGGAGUGAAAAAGAACCUGAAACCGUGUACGUACAAGCAGUGGGAGC